GCUACACUAUCUGACAGUUGAAAGGUGUUACCCUGCAGACUGUCUGAAAUUAGGGCUACCAGCUAUACCAUCCCACCAUCUGACAGAUGCUUACAGGGCAUGUAAAAUGACGUCACAAUGUCUAAAAAUUCAAUGGUGCACCCGACUCCCAAAGAACACGCGACUACCUUCUUUUGCCGCCACAUCCCUUGUCUGCAAAAUGAGAACACAUUAAAAACCUCCUAAAAUAAGUAUCCUGGGAUGAGAGGGAAGUCUAUGACUCUCUAAGGUAGCACUAUAAAUAAAGUGUUUGAUUACUUUAGGUGAGAAAAUCAUGACGUUACUGGAAGAAUGCCAUCCCCUGAAGGCUCACAAACUCAAGAACUUUUAUCAGGAAUGACGCACGAAGAAAAUAAAUAAAAGAAGAGCGAAGAAACACAUUGAGACGCUCAUUCGGGAAACUGCAUCAAACUAGAUAAUGAUAGUUUUAUCGUUAGAACCCAAAUAUACAUCUAGGUCUAUAGGCCUACCUUUUUCAAUAACCUAAUUUAUUUUGACUAUAAGAACUUAUCUUGUGAUGAUAAUGUAUGUCUAUUGUUUGUGUAUAUGUGUUAACUGUUAUCAUAUGCCACAACACGGU